AUGACCCCCUCCUUGCCGUCGCUGUUGCUCGUCCUCCUGCUGGCCUUGUGGACGGCGCCCUACCUCCCAGCGCGCGCCGGCUGCCUCACGCACAUCCACCUGUACAUGCACGAGACCUUCGCCGGCCCAAACGCCACGACGCUCACGGCGGUGCCGUCCCCUCUGGGCGCCGACGCGACGUUCGGGGCGGUCGGCGUGCUCGACGACGAGCUGCGCGACGGGCCGGACGCGAGGAACUCGUCGCUCGUCCGCCGGUACCAGGGCCUCUUCGUCAGCGCGGGGCUCGUGAGCCCGCCGGGCGCGCAAUCGGCGAUCAACCUCGUCUUCACGGCCGGCGAGCGCCACGGGAGCACUCUGGCCAUGCUGGGCCCCGUGCUGAGCUUCACGAGCGCCAUCGAGCGCGCCGUGGUGGGCGGCACCGGCACCUUCAGGAUGGCGCGCCGGCAGCCCCACGCCGGAGUCCCUCGUCUACGAGGUCGACCUGUUCCUGGACAUGUACCAUGCCUGAUCGAUGGUUGUGCUUGUUGGUUUGUGUGCGUACAGUGCUAUUGUGUAGGAGUACGUUGCAAAUAUAUUUUCAAUUGGUGUUCAAAUGUUCUUGAAACCCCAACAAAAUGCAUUCAACUACUGAGCAUAUAUGCUGUACAUGGAAGCAAAGCCUCGCAAACGUGCAGCGUGUACGUAUGUACAAUCUACAUGCUCUAG
rnacentral:rRNA from 1 species